AAUCAACGCUGGCGGCGUGCCUAACACAUGCAAGUCGAACGAGAAAGCGGGGGCAACUCCGUGAGUAAAGUGGCAGACGGGUGAGUAACACGUGAACAACCUACCCUUGAGUGGGGAAUAACACCGCGAAAGCGGUGCUAAUACCGCAUAACAUCCCAGGGUCGCAUGGCUUGGGGAUCAAUAGCGAAAGUUGCUUGAGGAGGGGUUCGCGGCUGAUUAGCUAGUUGGUGAGGUAACGGCCCACCAAGGCAACGAUCAGUAGCCGGCCUGAGAGGGCGAACGGCCACACUGGAACUGAGACACGGUCCAGACUCCUACGGGAGGCUG
rnacentral:rRNA from 1 species